rnacentral:rRNA from 1 species
GAUCCUGGCUCAGGAUGAACGCUAGCGGCAGGCCUAACACAUGCAAGUCGAGGGGCAGCACGGUGUAGCAAUACACUGGUGGCGACCGGCGCACGGGUGCGUAACGCGUAUGCAACCUACCCAUAACAGGGGGGAUAACACUGAGAAAUUGGUACUAAUACCCCAUAACAUCAGGACCGGCAUCGGUUUGGUUGAAAACUCCGGUGGUUAUGGAUGGGCAUGCGUUGUAUUAGCUGGUUGGUGAGGUAACGGCUCACCAAGGCAACGAUACAUAGGGGGACUGAGAGGUUAACCCCCCACAUUGGUACUGAGACACGGACCAAACUCCUACGGGAGGCAGCAGUGAGGAAUAUUGGUCAAUGGACGCAAGUCUGAACCAGCCAUGCCGCGUGCAGGAAGACGGCUCUAUGAGUUGUAAACUGCUUUUGUACGAGGGUAAACGCUCUUACGUGUAAGAGCCUGAAAGUAUCGUACGAAUAAGGAUCGGCUAACUCCGUG